UGAGAGAAAAGGGUUAGAGAGAACCUAGAGAGACGAGGAAGAAUGAACAACCGGAAGACUCACCGAAAACUACCGUCGGAGUCUACUCCGGUCAAGAUCAUGAUGCAAGGAGCCUUUCUUGGAAGGGAAAAGAGAAUGUGGGUGGCCGGAGUUCCAUUUUCCAUCAAGAAAUCAGAAAACCCCGCGAGGAAGAACUCUACGCAUGAUCUGUGAAGAAGUUUGGCCGAGAUCUCAACCUGAAGGCGGAGAUCCAAGAAUCGUCUGAGAACGGUGAGCAAACUUCCGACGCUCUUAACUUGUCCAGUAGUCAAG